AUUUAUAUUCAGGUAAGGCCUCAGUUAUAGCUAUGAGUAAAAUCCAUCAGUAAAAAUUGAAACAUCAGGAAUCUGAAAUCUUUUACUGAUGAGCGUUUAUAGCAAUCAGUAAAUUUACGUCAUUAAAUUAAAUAUUUAUUUGACAUUCUCGCCUCAAGCAAUUUUUUUACUGUUGAUUUCAUCAGUAAUUUUUUUAAUGAUGGCACCGGAACAGUAAAAAAGUGGAACGCCAUCAGUAAAACGAAAUGGAAUUUUUUUGGGCAUUUGGCAGUCAGCUGUUCAGUAAAAUGAAAUUUCAUCAGUAAAAUUUAUAAAAUGAAUUUGUGAAUAAAAUUUAAUACAAAAUGCAUUGAUUCUUCUUGAAAAAAUUAGUGGAAUUAUGUCUUCAAUUUAUUUCAUCAAAAUUUUCCUCAAAAUAAAAGAUUAAAGUAUUCAAAACAGCAAAACAAAAUUUUUACUGAUGGAUUUUACUGGUAGCUAUAACUGAGCCCUAAGUGAUAUAAAAAUAGGUUUCUCACAUAUACAUGUAGUGUCUCUAUAAACGGAUCUGGUGUGCGUCCCAUUCAUUGUACUAUUUAUCGAAGUCUUCACUUUGAUCAACAGUACAAAGUUCCUAUCGAUGGAACAAAAUGAUGGCGAAACAAAUCUCACUCAAAACGCAAUGAUAACAAUUGUGCCGCGUCGCAAUUCAGGCUGAAGCAGCACCAGUAAUGGUGGUUGUGCUAGUGGUAGCUUCGAAGAAGCUCAAAUAGUAUUCUACGAAUCCAAAAUUCGUCCAAAAGAAUCAUCAUCAAAACCAACCCCCCCAUUCUGUCUGGCAAACUUCACAAGUCACAAAAACCUCACAAGGUGAUCAUAACUCGAUUUUGUGAAGAUUUGUUUCUCACAAACUUCUUACUAGCAAAAAUCCAACUUGUGAGUUUUGUGACCUCUUUCGGUGCAGAUCACAAAUUCGAAAGUUUAUGUAUACAAAAACCUCACAAAAUCAAUUUUAGCUCACCUUUUGGAGUUCUUGUGACUUGUAAGGUUUGCCAGAAUAGGGGGGUAAUAUUAAAAGCAUCGACAUAAUGGUCUGACAUGUUCGAAGGUUUUUACAGGAGAAUCGCUGUUCCCGCCGUGCGAAGACUAAUAUGGCUGUUUGAUUUGAAUGCAUCUGAUAUUAAUUUGGAAAAGUUCAAGUAGACUCACAAAGAUCUACAAACUAUAUCUAAUUCUAAGGUCACAAAUCGGUGAAUUGCAAUUGCAAGAAAAUACGCUAAGAGGCAAGAACUUGGACAAAUCUGUUAUGAAUCAACUGAACUUUUAUCAACCAAGGACACUGGCAAAAUUUGAAAAAUCGUUCAUCUCACUACGUACAAAGAUUCGUCUAUUGAAAGCACAAAGAAAUGCCACACGUGUCAUGGAAGAGAACCCACCAGCUAAAUUAAAGCAAUCAAUAGCUAUUGAACAAGACCAAGUAAAAAGGCAAGUGGAUUUAUGAUCUUUUCCAGAGCCCGUUGAAUUAUUGAUCCUAUCCUCCACUUGAAAUUAGUAUCGAGGUUGCUGCUGAUGCUUCUGGAGUUGAAACAGAGACACCAGUCGCAGAAGCAGUAAGAUUAUCAUCUCAACUCGAUUGCUGUUUCUGUUAUGUUGAUAUUGUGGUGCAUGGUAUACCAUGAUUGUGGUGGACGUCGAUGAUUUUCUAUUUCUUUGACGAGAUAAUUUCUUUUUGCAUACCUAUUUAUUACUUCGACUCUCACUGGAGAUUGGACUCAUGUUUCAAAUGAUGAAACAAAAUUGAAAUACCAACUAAAAAAUUAGUGGGUGCGUUCAACAGCCGAAAUAUUUUCUGCCAAAAAUAAUAUGAAGACAUGCGAGAAUUUUUAGUAUACGUAUACCUCACCGAGUGAUCAGCUGAUAAACAUUAUGGCCUUUUUUAUUUUUAUUGCUUUUCGCGCUAUUAUUCAGCUUGAAAUAAAAUAUAUUUGCAAGAGAUAGUCAAAUCGAUUGGGCAAGUACUAUACAAAAAAAUGAAUUAAAACAAUUUCCUCUUAUCAAUAUUUCUUUUUUAUUAUUUUUUCAAUAUUAGGUGUGUUUUUUUGUUUAUCUAUAUAGAUUUUGUGCAAAAAAACGACAUCGGGAUUUUUCAAAUCCAUGAAAACAUUUGGCAACACUGUACUAUACUUUGGCAGCUGUCUGUCAAAAAUGUUGCUUUUAAUUUUAUUUUAUUUUAAUUCCGAAGUGGGAAGGCCAUUACAUCCAUGUUGGAUGCAAAGAAAAAUUUUCAUAUGGCUAUGGCAUCCAUGUUGGAUUCAAAAUUUUUUUUUUCACAAAAAACCAAAAAUGAUCUGUAUAUUCUUAGCUUCAUUUUAAGACCAUGACCAUUAACAUUAGUUGCGUCGUUCUUGUGUUAUAAGCGUUUGAAGGUAGCCAUAUUGAAUUUUUUUUCGAUUUUUUAAAAAUCAAAUGUGGAAACUUUUUUAUUUUUUUUUCUAAUUUUUCGAAAAAACUUUGGUAAUUUUAUAUACAUAUCUGUUGAACAAUCUUAUCAGGAUCCAUUUAAGACUUUUAUCUGAAAAGUGCAUUGCGUAUAUCUCGAGAUAUUAACAUUUCAAUGCAACCAUGUCAAACAAAUUUUUGAUUAUUUUUUUCUAUGAGAGUUUUUUUCAAACCUCGUUUUCUCCGCUUUUUUUUUUUGUUAAUAUUUUCAGAUAUUUUUGUAUGAACACAACAAUUAAAAUACCUUGGCAAUACUGUUUUCUAUCGAGAGAAAGUAAAAUCUGGAUAAUUAUCUGGAUUUUUGAAAAAUCUAUACAGAUAAAGUUUUUGUUGUAUUUAACACGUAAAUUGUUUCGAUUUCAAAAAUCUCGAUGUCGUUUUUUUGCACAAAAUCUAUAUAGAUAAACAAAAAAACACACCUAUUAUUUCAAUAUUUUUUAUGUAGCUGCUUUGGCAAACUAUCUUGAUAGCUUUUCGUUCAAAAAGAUAUUGCAGAUAUGGGUAUCCCAGAAAACCUAUCCGAUAGGUGACUGAACGCACCCAAUAUCAAAACGUCAAACAUGCUUGUGUUAUUUUUCUCGUUGAAAACAAUUUUUUUUUCGAACCAUUUCAAGCUUUAAAACCAUUCCUUUCCUCCUAUGAACACGAAAAAAGUAAUUCAUCAUCAAUUCUUAAAUAUGAUUAAAAAAAUGGACGAAGAUGAAAGAGUGAAGAGAUACCGGUGUUUCUCUCAAAGAACUUGCAGGACAAUUUAGUUAUACAUAUCUCACCAAAACCCAUAUUACCAAUUUCGAUUCGACCAAUUUGGUAAAUUGCUGUGUAAAACCCUUUAGCAAUUAUGUCAAAGUCGACUUUACCAUGAACACAGAAUCCAAAUAUUAUGAUCGUUUCAAAGGCGAACACUUUGCCAUCAUGGCGUAUGGAAAACAAGCCAAAGGCGAACGACAAACAAUCGUAUAUUAGCACAAAAUCCAUAGACAAUGCUGCAAAGUAUGUGGUACCAAAGUGGAGGAAAAGUCAAUCAACGAAGAAGACGAUGACGAAUAAGUGCAGCAAGUCAUUGUGAAAUUCUCAAAAACCGAUGCGAAUCGAAACAAGAAAAUCAAAGACAAGAGCUAUGAUAAUUUUGUUAAACGAUGUACUGAGGAACUUGUGUCCGAGACACUUUGGCAUCUACAUACAUCACCCACUGCUGCAUAAGAGCGACAAAAGAUAUUUCCCACUCAACAGCAAAGAGUGAUUUUUAAAGAUGGUUAGUAUUACUCGCAUGCUUACUUUCGAUGAUAUCAUGUCAAUCCUGACAGAAAGUAUUGAAUGUCUUAGCUGGAAAAGGGAUAUGAAUGGUACAUUGCUUGUGUUACGACUUUGGCGCAAGUGGGAGUGCUAACUAAAAGCAAUUUGUUUGGCAAAUUCGAAGUCAUCUAUCCUCCAGAUAAUUAAUCAAAUGCUAAUCGUGUGGGUUCUGAUUUGAUGGUUCGUGCUAGAGAUUACAUGGUAAUAACGAAGAAAAAUCUUUAAAAUUGGAUUAAAUUGUGAGUUCUUAUCGAUGGAACAAAACGUGUCGAUGGAGAAACAAAUUUCACCCAAGGCGCAAUGAUAACAAUUGCUAAUUAAAAUUAUGUGCGUUUCAAUAAUCCUGCCGAAGCUCAACUUAUACGCUAUGCCUUGGGCAGCAACGAACGAAUCUCGAUGCCACCUUAUAAAACCAAAUUUCAAUGGGCUUAAUAUUAAUGCCAGGAUAAUAUUAAAGUCCAACAAAUCAUUUUUUAGAAGGACACGGCCCCGUUUCUCACAAAUGAUGGAUAAAAAUGUGGAUAAAAACUAAGUUGGCAAACUUGUUCCUACAGAAAAAAAUCAAUUAAAACUUGUCUGCAUCCCUGACACAGUAGUGUCUACUUGCUGUUCAGUUAAAAGUACAAUAUGUUCGCAUCUAAAAAGUACAAGAAAUAGAUGAUUUUUAAAAAUACUAUGGGUGAGGCUAUCCAUGUGUUACGGACUGUAUGUGCGCCCUCCAUUGCAACAACAGCAGCAACAACAUCAGCAACAACUUCCGUCACAUCAGCAACAUGCACCGCAGCAACUGCACCACCUUCUCAAAUGAUUCCUCCACAAAAACAUUCCCAACUACCUCCACAGCAUCAGCAGAAUCCUCCAUACCACCAGGAAAUGCAUCCGCAAAACUUCAAUCUACCGACAUUUGGUAUACCGCCCCCGGGCUACGGUGGGUAUCAACCUGCAUGGGAUGAGUACAACCUCCAUGGGGAAUGCAAUGAAAAGAGAUGAAUUCCGAAAACUGAUGGAAGAUGCUCAUCUUAAUGGAAAAGAUCAUUAUUUAGUGAAUUAAGUCAACGUUAUGGACGCCACGAUCACAACAAAACCAUCGAAAAAGUACGUGAAUGUGAAAGUUUUUUUCAAAGAGUACAUUGUCGAUUUUCUUCUCAAGAAAGAAGAGGAUAAAAUUCAGAAAAAGAAAAAGCCUCAUACUACCACCAUCUUGUUGGGAUGCGUCUGCGAUCUCUUGUGCUAAUCUAUAUGCCAUUGUUUAUUGGUGCUUUGAUUCGUCAUGAAGUCGAAAAGAAGGAUAAAUGGAUUCAAGAGUUUUUGCAAUGUUGACUGCUGCUUUAACUGAUAACGAAACCAGUGGAAAUAUGGCUACUCAAGUGAUAUAUAAAAUUUGUAUAACUAUGACCUAUUUGGUGCCAUUCAUUUUUAUACACAAGACUGUUGAAUUGACGGACCAGAAGUCGAUUGCUAUGAUUAUUAAGUUUCUUCAAGCUUUUGUCGUCGAGGACUCUGUGAUAAGGUUAUUCAAACUUUUGGAGUAUCCCCAACUACACUCGACAAACAUUCGUUUGUUGUUGGACUUUCACUUGGAAGCUUCGAAAAACACUCAGUUGGAUAGCUCAGUGCGUGUAAACACUGGCAUCUAUUGGCUGGUUGGGGCGCUUGAAUAAGAAGGUAAUUGUCAGGCAAGAGCUCGUUGAACUCAUCAUUCAGGUUGUCUUGAAUCCAAUUGAGGCAUUACCCUCCAGUGGUGGAGAUGAAAAACAUGGCGCUGACACACCACCGUUGCUGGAAAGGAAAAUAACAUGCAUAUUUUGAUUCUUUCUUGGUUGGCUGCAGCCACUGAAGCAUGCAAUGCUGAAUUUAAAAGUCAAGAGUUUGCUUCGGCAAAAAGUGCUUCAUAUUGUUGUAAUAUACCUAGAGUGCUUAAAUGAACAUUAAAAUAAAUA